rnacentral:hammerhead_ribozyme from 1 species
GCGCUGCUGACGAGUCCCAAACGGGACAAAACAAUUGUCCAGUGU